rnacentral:lncRNA from 1 species
UUCAUUUUGUUAUUUAUAAAGUCGAUAGGUGUUAAUAAGUUCAUGUUAAAAUUAAUUAAAUUUUUUUAAGAAAUUAUUUUAAUGUAAUGUACUUUUUUAUCAAAUUCAAAAAGAAAAAUACUAUACUACUAAUAAUAAGUUUUUUCUAUAAAUAACAUUUCAACAUUUUUGGAUUAUUAUAUAUUUAUUAGACUUUAUUGUAAAUUGGUUGUUAAUUUAUUGGUGGUUGAUUUUUUUUAAUUUUUUGGGCACACCGAAAAUGCUGACCCUUUGGCCAAUGGGCUUUGACUUAGAACGAAUUGUCUGUCAUGUGACUAUACAGUUCAGGUUUCUUGGAUCAUGUGACUGUAUUGUUGGGAUUCCAAAGCAUGAGCUUGCCAAGAUCUCAUCUGGUGUUUGAUGGAUAUGAUGAUGAGAUAUUGAGAUCAAGUAUUUUAGGGCAUCAGAGAAUUUUUUCUUUUAACCAUAAUUUCUAACGGUGUCGAAUGUGGAUGUUUAAAAAAAUUUAGGACUUAGAAAUAUUUUUAGAUAUAAAAAUGUUCAAAAUAUGGAAUAGAAUCAAAAUUUACAUUUUAAUGCUCUAGAGGAAAGUAAGAACUUUUAAGCCAAAUAUGAGUCAUUCCAAAACCGUAAAUGUUAAUUUUUGGUUAUCAAUUUUACAUUAAAAUCUUAAAUUUUAAAAUUUUUUGCUCAUGUAAACAACUUUUUAUUUAAUUGAGGUUUAUAAUUGUGAGGUCUUUAAAAUUUAUAUUAAGAAAUUUUAAAUCCUUUAUGAGAUAUAAAUAAACACUUGAAUUUAGUUUUACAAAAUAAUUUUUUGAACAAAAUCAUGGAAAUCUUUAUAUCAAAAUGAACAAUAAUUUAAAAAUUCAGUGCAAGUAUUUAUAAUAAUGAAUAUUUAAAUUAGGUUUACAUAGUUUAUAGAGAUUCUCACAAUAUUAAACUUUUUUUAAUAUAUGUAAAAAAAUCAAAAUUUGAUUUAUAAUCAUUAAAAUUAAAUAUUUAAUACUUUACCAAUCAACCAAAUCACAUGAUUGAUAUAUCCACAAUAUUAAACUUUAGACGGGUAAAUAAAAUACAUUACCAAAAUGAGAAAAGAAGAGGUAAAAGCCAAGACUAUUGUUUCUCUCCUGCCUUUAUUUAUUUGUUUUUCUUAAAAAGAAUGAAAAGGAGAAUACAACAGUUACAGGAUUCAAGCACGAAUUAGGGGCGUUUAGUUUCCUAAUCCCAUUUUCGAACAAUUAUUUUGAACUUGUGCCGACGAAAAACAGAUAACAGCAGUGAAAAAAAAUAAAAAAGACAGAUACCGCAGUCAAGCCGUACCUAAAGAAAGAGAAAGAGUUUAUUAUAGCCGUCAAGAACGGUUUUAGGUUGUCUCCUCUGACAUAUCCAACAUUUUUAUUUUGGCAUAUAGAUCAGAUAAGGUGGUUGUCCUUGGUAGAUUGACUACGCAAAAUAGCUAGCAAUUGCAUCGUUGGA